CGCGCAUACCUGUGUCGAUGGAUGGACAGAUGGAUGGAUGGUAGGAUGGAUGGAAGGAUGGAUGUAUUUGAUGGCGUUGAUGGCGCUGAUGGCGUCGGAGAGCCCGGCUGGCUCCUGGACCCUGUGGCUGUGGCCGGGGCUUCAUUAUAGCGCCAGGGAAAUGCUAAACUUUUGCAACGUUGCAAAAACAGCUGGACUGGACAGGACGGUACAGGACAGAGCGGAGGCGACUCCCGGGAAUUUUUUCCCCACUCUCCGAUUCCCCUCGUUACAUGACAAAAACAAAAAAAAAAGUGAAAAGUGGAAAUUGGAAAUUGGAAAAUGGAAAAUGAAAACUGAAAUCUGCAAAUUGCAAGCGACUUAUGACCCGAAAAGUAAGCUGACUUCAUACAGUAAUCAAUGGCGAGGGGUGGAC
rnacentral:misc_RNA from 1 species